UGCAUUUCAAAAGACAAAUUUAACACAUUUACUGCUUGACAAUGUUGACAUUGUAGCAGCAGAAUAUUGAAGCAAUACUAAUCAUCACAGAACAAAUGGAUCUCAGGGUAUAGUUUUACUCAGUGCAUUGGCGGAGACUGUUAGUUACAGAGCACACAGAACAACUGGCAAUGACUAGGCUAUAUUGUAGACGUUGCUUGUAAUGCACUGAAAAUUUCAUUGUAAUGUAUUUAAGGCUACCAUACAGUCUUGUACCAGUAGAAAGAGUCUGGAAAGAAGACUAGAAGGAUCCAUGUUUUAACAACAGCGUUUUACUGGGGAAAAACUACAUAGGAGCACUGAGCAAAACAAAAGUCCACAGAAGACAGGCUUGAAAUGGCGUGGAUUAAGGAAGAUUGGCCAAUUUGGUACAUUGAUGGUCAUUAGCCGUGGCUAUAAUUUGCUUAGCUGAAAGCAACUUCAAGCGUUCACCACUUCACCUUCACAAGCUGGUUAUGCAUGCACUUGCUUGAACGCAAACAUUUGCCUCCAGAUAUUAAGUUUUGAUCUCGAGACAGUAUGAGCAUAAAUGCAACAGAUCCAUCCAAAGUAUCUAUUGGCAGGCAUUAAGAAUGGAAGAGUUUCCUGGUCAGCCACCUUGCAGAAGGCAAUGACUAACCACUAGCACUUAUCCCAUAAGUGUGGACUUGGCUGAUGGAAAUUCACGGCCCCUUGUAACCGAGAUCAAGAGCAAAGAUGGACAGAGUGCAUCCCUGAGGUUCUUUGAGCUUUCUGACACCUCCCCAUACGACUUCUGCCGAAAAGACCGAAACAUGGCAUAUUCCUUCUCGUUGUAGAGAACCCUGUGGACUAAUAAACAAAGCUCGCUUAAACUGGCACUGUUAUCUCUGCCUAACUGCUUCACACUGAGAGAAGGUAAACAUAAAAGAAUAUCAGCUUUUGGAAAAUCUACAACCUUUUAACCUGCGGUUCAGCUGAAUUCUUUCAGUUGCUUCACGGAGUCCAAUCAUUAUAUUAUUCCUUUCCCCCUGUAAUUUCUGCUUCUUUUUCUCUGUUUGCCAGCAUCCUAAAUGUACUUUUCAAAGUUCUUUGUGCAUUUGUGAUACCAUCUAUCUCCUGCAACUCUGUUGGCAGAGGUGGGGAGUUGAGGUGGUAUUUAUAUUCAUAAAUCUUUUAGAAUUCCCUUUCACGCUAACUGGGAAUUUUAAUCAAAGGCCGUGUUUAGAGAAAUAGAGAAAGUGUCUUCUGCCUCUUCAUAAAAACAAUUGUCGCCUACUCCCAUUCAGUCCUGUCCUCACUUGCUGUUUAUGUAUUGUCUGCAAAAUGUAUACAAUGACAAACACUGUGGAUAACAGCAACUGAGAAGAUGGUGAUCUAAGGCCAAAAGAAAUGGAAAUAAAAAACUUCUGACUGUCUUCCCUUAACAAAGUGUUCAGAGUCAGGGUGAUGAUCCAGUGGGCUAUGAGCAAUUCCCAAAUCCAAGUUGAUAUGACUUUAUUUGAAGUGCACCAGGUACAUUUUAGUUAAAUUUGCUCAGGGGAACUUUACAGCCACAGAACCAAGCUCAUAAUAUUUAUGAAAGUGCUACACUAAUGUUUACAGGUUUAGACAGCUUAGUGCAAGAAAUCCAAGGGACUGUCUUUUGUCAAAUAUUGCCUGUGUAUGACAAGGAAUAGCUGGUGUGUGCAAAACAUGCAAGUCGAACUGUUUCCCUUUGGGACUGUACCAUGUGCACCAAUUUGGUAUGACUAGCAUUUUCAAGUCAUAAUUGCUGAAGUGUUAAAAAAUAGGAAAGGGCAACUGCUCUCACUGAUCAUGUUUCUUUGCAGUGGGGAAUGAGAGAUAAACUGCCCUGACUGAGAUUUCUCCAGUCUUACCAUCCAUGUCCUGACUGCCAGUGCCCAUUCCUUCCCAAGGCACUAUAUACAGUAAAUAGUGGCAGAGGAUUAGAGUCCAGUGCAGGGGCUGAGAGGAUUUUCCUCCUGUAUAGUUCAGUUAUCCAGCUUUAUGGUCUGGCAGUUCACCAUGGGAUGUAGUGUGAAGGCCAUAAUGCUCCCCUGUGAGAUAGAUGAAUACGUGGACUCUUCCCCAGCCUGUUAGCCAUAAAUAAUCUUCUGCAAAAAGCCCUCAGAUUUGGCUGUGUUUGAUUGAAUACUCAAUGCACCUUCUAAGCUGCCCUACGUCUUGUGCUGACUCAGCACCAGAGCCAUGGACACCUCUUUGAUGCUGGCAAUCCAACUGGGAGUACCACUGCACAAAGGGUAUAAAGUUUGACUUAAUUAUUUCAGGGUUGGGACAGAUCCAAGAGCUAUCUUGGCAGAUAGAAAACUCUGUCUUCAUGGCCUCCAAGCUGAAAAGAAGCAUUGCGGCAUGACUCAUUAAUUGUCUGAAUGAGACAUUUCCUUUCUGUGUAACAAUAAAGCAUAAUUAUGUACUGUAAACUACCAUCCCAAGUCCAGCCAGUUCAGUCAUAUAAUAUUUUAAUUUGAAGAAAUCAGCGUACCUUACUGUUUGGUGAGGCAACAAGCACUUGGAAUUUAUAAGUAAUUUGUUUCACUUGACUGUGUAUAAAAUACUCCAGAGCUCACGUUCUUUUAGAUCACUCUCCACCAUUCCAUUCUUCACUUUUCAUUCAGAAUAGGACCCUUUGUUUCAACAUGUCUUGUUUCUUUGGCAUAAACUGCUCUUAACUGAGAUUGAGCGGUGAAUGACACAGCAGGAAUUAAAGGGGCACGUAGUGGAUCUCAAAGUAACUAAGUGGCAUCACAAAUCAUAUUGCAAGGAAGAAAGCUAUUUGGCCCCUCACAGCUCAGCUAAUUCUUUGAAAGAAUGAUCCAACUCAUUGCACUCUCCUGCUCCUUCCCCAUAGUCCCACAUUUUUCUCUUCCUCGCAGUGUACUCUCCAGCUGACCUAUUAAGAGGAAUGCAAUUACUUCGUGGUGUGAUUGAGAGAUUUUUUAUGCCAGAGAACCUGGAUUCGAAUCCUGCCAUGCUGAUUCUGCAGAUGAUGAAACCCAAUUUCAAUAAAAAAUCUGAAUUUAAAGUCACAAUGCUGUUACAAACUCACUGUAGACCAAGAAGUCAAUGGCCUCUUCUUGUAAUAUUUAAUUGCUUCAAAAUCAUGCUUUCGGUUUUUUAACAUGUCAUCUACUGCUUAAACUCAUAAAUGGUAGCUGUCUGCGAGAAAACAAACUUCUGGAUUGUAUUUGUAGCAUCACACAGUGUGGAGCAUUUG